UGGUGUGGUGAUAGCACCUUAAAUGCACCAGGUCACAAUGGCUCACUGAAGUUAAGGAACGUUGCGCGUGGUUGGUAAUCUGGGUGACCAUAUGGGCAAUCGCGUCCUGCUGUCU
rfam:Asian citrus Psyllid, Diaphorina citri - Florida Strain, whole genome shotgun sequence.